rnacentral:rRNA from 1 species
AGCAGCCGCGGUAAUUCCAGCUCCAAUAGCGUAUAUUAAAGUUGUUGCAGUUAAAAAGCUCGUAGUUGAAUUUCGGGGUUCUACCGUUGGUCGGGCUAUUGUCUGUACUGGCGUGUAGAAUUUCUACCUUCUGGGGAACUAUCAUGUUAUUAAUUUAACGUGGCGGGAAACCAGGACCUUUACCUUGAAAAAAUUAGAGUGUUCAAAGCAGGCUUAUGUCUGAAUACAUUAGCAUGGAAUAAUAAAAUAGGACGGUGGUCCUGUUUUGUUGGUUUCUGAAUCACCGUAAUGAUUAAUAGGGAUAGUUGGGGGCAUUAGUAUUCAAUUGUCAGAGGUGAAAUUCUUGGAUUUAU